rnacentral:rRNA from 1 species
AAUCAACGCUGGCGGCGUGCCUCAGACAUGCAAGUCGAACGAUUAAAGCUCUCUUCGGAGAGUGUAUAGAGUGGCGCACGGGUGAGUAACACGUAAGUAAUCUACCUUCGAGUGGGGAAUAACGUCCGGAAACGGACGCUAAUACCGCAUAAUGCAGCGGCAUCGCAAGAUGACAGUUGUUAAAGGAAUUUAUUUCGCUUGAAGAGGAGCUUGCGGCAGAUUAGCUAGUCGGUAAGGUAAUGGCUUACCAAGGCUACGAUCUGUAACCGGUCUAAGAGGACGGUCGGUCACACUGACACUGAAUAACGGGUCAGACUCCUACGGGAGGCAGCAGUCGGGAAUUUUGGGCAAUGGGCGAAAGCCUGACCCAGCAACGCCGCGUGAAGGAUGAAGUAUUUCGGUAUGUAAACUUCGAAAGAAUAGGAAGAAUAAAUGACGGUACUAUUUAUAAGGUCCGGCUAACUACGUGCCAGCCGCCGCCGUAAC